UUCCUCCCUCCCCCCUGUAUCCGUGCGCCAAGCAGAUAAAGGCGCCAUUUUGGAGAGGCCACGGGAGACGUGGUGCCGCUGCGGGUUCGCUCUGCUGUGCGCUAGGCUUGGUGGGAAGGCCCGUUCUCGAGUCCGCGCUUUUUCGUCGCCGCCAUGUCGGGAGGUGGUGUGAUUCGUGGCCCGGCAGGGAACAACGAUUGCCGCAUCUACGUGGGAAACUUACCUCCAGAUAUCCGAACCAAGGACAUUGAGGACGUGUUUUAUAAAUACGGCGCUAUCCGCGACAUCGAUCUCAAGAAUCGCCGCGGGGGACCGCCCUUCGCCUUCGUAGAGUUCGAGGACCCGCGAGACGCGGAAGACGCGGUGUACGGUCGCGACGGCUACGAUUACGAUGGAUACCGUCUGCGGGUGGAGUUUCCUCGAAGCGGCCGUGGUACUGGCCGAGGCGGCGGCGGGGGUGGAGGUGGUGGAGCGCCCAGAGGCCGCUAUGGCCCCCCAUCCAGGCGGUCUGAAAACAGAGUGGUUGUCUCUGGACUUCCUCCAAGUGGAAGCUGGCAGGAUUUAAAGGAUCACAUGCGUGAAGCAGGUGAUGUAUGUUAUGCUGAUGUUUACCGAGAUGGCACUGGUGUCGUGGAGUUUGUACGGAAAGAAGAUAUGACCUAUGCGGUUCGAAAACUGGAUAACACUAAGUUUAGAUCUCAUGAGGGAGAAACUGCCUACAUCCGGGUUAAAGUUGAUGGGCCCAGAAGUCCAAGUUAUGGAAGAUCUCGAUCCCGAAGCCGUAGUCGUAGCAGAAGCCGUAGCAGAAGCAACAGCAGGAGUCGCAGUUACUCCCCAAGGAGAAGCAGAGGAUCACCACGCUAUUCUCCCCGUCAUAGCAGAUCUCGCUCUCGUACAUAAGAUGAUUGGUGACACUUUUUGUAGAACCCAUGUUGUAUACAGUUUUCCUUUAUUCAGUACAAUCUUUUCAUUUUUUAAUUCAAACUGUUUUGUUCAGAAUGGGCUAAAGUGUUGAAUUGCAUUCUUGUGUAAUAUCCCCUUGCUCCUAACAUCUACAUUCCCCUCAUGUCUUUGAUAAAUUGUAUUUUAAAUGAUGUCAUAGACAGGAUGUUUCAAUUUAGUUAACUUUCCAUGCUCUUCAGACUGUGAUAUUGUGUAAAUGUCUAUUCUGCUCUGGUUUGUGUGAACUGGGAUGUUGGGGGUGUUUGUGGUUAUCUUAUCUGGGGAAGUUCUUAUGUUUAUCUUGCUUUUCAUGUGUCUUUCUGUAGACAUAUCUGAAGAGAUGGAUUAAGAAUGCUUUGGAUUAAGGAUUGUGGAGCACAUUUCAAUCAUUUUAGGAUUGUCAAAAGGAGGAUUGAGGAGGAUCAGAUCAAUAAUGGAGGCAAUGGUUUGGAUUGGAGAGGGCUCACUGGAUCCCAAUCCUUGGAGCUGGAUCAUUGGAUUCAAAUCAUAAUGUGGAUAGGAUAGGGAGGAUGAAUUACAAGGAUUCAUGGAGCGGGAUCAGAUUACCAGGAACAUAGGAGUGGAUUCCUGCCCCAACCAAACCGCACUCGUGUGGAUUUUUUUAUUCAACUUAAUUGGCUAUUCCAAAGAUUUUUUUCCUAUUUUUGACGAUUGGAGCCCUUAAGAUGCACGAUGGAAUUGUGUUUUGCAUUUUUUGGUAAAAGGAGCAAAGCGAGGACCUGGAGAUAAUACGCUGGAGCAAUCUCCUUGGAAGGAUUCAGCACGAGUAGAUGGUAAACAUUUAAAGGGGUAAGGGGGGGUUUGUUUAAAAUAGUAAUCAGUAAGUCACUUCUAAAUUUAAAGAAAAAAUUUGGAGUUGAAGAAUGAGUAGGUUUCCAAUUGGCUAUUGCCGUUUUUCUUUGAAAAAAUAAACAUUUUUUAAAAAACAAUGCAUGGUUGUCCUUUUUCCUCUUCAUGUAAGAUUUUAACUUGUAACUAUCAAUUGAAGCAACAUAAGAUUCUGACUCUUGUGUUUAUGUAUUAAAAGUUUCUUGAAAGGCAGUCUAAUAAAUCGUAUUAGCCAUCUCUUAUGUUGUGAAAAUCAUAAGGGGAGGAUAAAAAGAAUAAGGCAGUUGUAUAUGUAAUGGCAAUUGAGGGGUGAUCUAGUUUGAAAGCUCUUUGCUAAAAAGUGAUUAAAAAUUUGUUGAUGCUGUUUGUUUUGGUGAUCAUUUAUAGACUAUGUAGGCUUGUACAAAAUUAGUUGAUGCAAAUUAAUAUUGGCUUGGAAGUGGCCUUCAAGAGUCUGAUUUCUCAAAAAUUGCUAAGUAUUAAAUGUUAGCUUUAAGCAUAGAUGUAUUAGAACUCAGCACAAGUGACAUUUCCUUUUUGAAAUGUAAACAGUAUGGUAGAAGAUUAACUGCUUAUUUGGGUUAAUCUUUGCCUUGUAAACUCUUGCUAACCCUAAAAUUAUGUUGUCCCCAAACUUAAGUAUUCUGUAUCACAGCUGUGAUUAUAUCUUGUCUACUAGUUUUUAUAUAUUUGCUAAGAGCCCCUGGAUGCUAAUUUUUUUUGUUUGUUUGGGAUGGGAAAGAGGUGAUUUAUUUUAAAUUUUUAUUUUCUUAUAGCUAGCGAGAACAGCCAACUGCUCUUUUGUACUCAAUAGGAGUUGCUACAUCUUUAACUAUUCCCUUGGGUGCAGACUGAAUUUGAUGAUGAUUCUGCUGCCAAUCUAAAACGUAGAGGAAACAAGACAUCUUGAUAGUGGAAGGAAGGAUUUCCGUGACAGUUGUAAGAUUACCUAACCAUUACAUUUUAAGAAACCAUAUGGAGCAGUGAUGGUGACUCUUAAGUUUGGCACACUGCGAAUGAUAGUCUAUCCUGUAGAGGACAUCAAGUUCAAAACCAGGAGUUUUGUUUUAGGUAGAUAAAAUGGCACAGGUUAAAGAUAAAUAUUUCUAGUUAUUUGUAGGGAUUCAAAGUAGGACCAAGCAAGAAUUGCUUUUAAACAGUUUUGAACAAUUACACAUGACAUACUUGGAGUUUUUCUUGUGUAAAAUACAUUUUAAAUGAAAUAUUAGAAGUUACCAAAUAAGAUAAUUUUGAAAGGUCAAAAUGAAGUAGACUUAAGAAACCUGGCUUUUUGCAAAAUAUUUUGGAAACAGGACCAAAAUGAGGAUAAUGUUCGCUUACAGUUGUCUAUUUAAGCUAUGUUAAAUGAGAUUCUACUAAAAGGCUUAGUAGUUCCAACCCCAGAUUGAAAUAAGUAUUCUUUGUCUACUAUCUAGGCUUUAGUUUGAAGAUCAGAGAGGACUUACUACAUAGUUAUGAGAGGUAGAGGAAUGUAGGUUUUAUAGUUAUGGUGACCAGGCUGCAAUAAAGGAUAGACUUAUAUUUAGUCAUAGGAAAUGGACCUCUAUGCAUUAGCAGUUAGCAGAAGGAAAUUAUACCCUUACUGAACUGCAAAAACUGCCUUGAGUUUUUCCCCUGUGUCUCCUUUAAAUAUAGGGAACCUAAAAGUUUAUUUUCUAACCAAGAAAAAGCACUUAGGUCUUUCUAAGAAGCCUUAAUUUUUCAUAACAUCAGAUUGAAUAACCCACUUUGCUGUGCAGCCUACAUCCCACUGGAGAAAAAAAGAUGAGGAAACAGGCCCUGAAAAGUGAGAGAUCAUUCAACUUGGGGUGGAGAAGGAGAAUCUGAACAGGGCUGACCAGUUCCCUGGUGUGUUACCUGCUUCUGCUUCUGCUACCGAUCCAAACUGCAGAACUUCUCAUUCAGCUCUAAAAGGACCCAGACCAACGUUUUCCAGACCCUUCAUUCUGGUGACUGACUGAUGGAAGGAAAGAAGAGGAGGGGGGAUAUAGUUGUAUACUGGAUGAAAAAGAAACACUUAAAUUACUGUACCUCUUUAACUUAGUAGUCUGCAGCCAUCUUGAUUGUAUUGUUUAUGUAUUUGGGGAAGUUGGAGAUGACUGGCCUUAGACAUGACUUGAGGGGAAUAAAUGGAGGGGAUAAGAAUCAGUUGAUUUUGAAAGAUGUUGAUGUUUUGAAAUAAUGUACCCAUCUGAGGAAUUCUAAGUUUAUAAAAGUACCAUUGAUGUAGCCUUUCCCCUCACUUCCCCACUGCAGGUUUCUCUGACGGGAGAUAUUUCUUUAAUAAUAGCAUGUCUCUGAUAUUCCCAGUAACAGCUGCCACAGCUACUAUCAAGGAAAGGAUAGAAAACGUUCAGGACAUCAUAUAGACUCCUCAUCUACAAAGUUCAGUAGCUGUGCCUCCUUCCUACACAGAAGACUUGGAACUGCAAACAGGCUGGGGUCAUUCAGUGACAUCUCUCGAUGCUGCACAAACAAGUUUGAUUUUUGUUUUGUGGGGUGCAGAAGAAAGCAGACUGUACUAAAACUAAAAU